UAGACCAUAAAGGUCUUUUAAA
rnacentral:tRNA from 1 species